rnacentral:lncRNA from 1 species
CUUGACCCUAUUCCAAGGGAUAUUGGUAAUAGUUUUGCAUGACAAUGUGGGAUUUUUCCUUUUAAACAACAAUGAUUACUCUCCUUUCUUUUAUAUUUUAAUUCAUUUAAUAAUUACUCCAACACAUUUCUCUUCCUUCAGGGUCUUACACAUACACUUUUCCGUCAAUCAAAUAAACGUGACUGACAAUAUAUUUCCGGCGUCAGUGGCUGUUUUCUAAGAUAACCCUACAUCAUUUCUGAGAGCCUAGUGCAAGAAUUACAAAAUCCUCAUGUCCCGACGUAUCACGUUACAACCCUGAAACCAUAGUGAGGUUUUCAGGUGGCAUUCAUUAACUUGAGCAAUUGCAUUUCUUUGGAAAUGGACGUUACUUAGGUAGCUUUUAGACACAAAUACUGGCAAACUAAGAUAUUACCUGCAUUUCCCUUAUGAUGCUAAGAAAUCUUGUUUAGAAAUACAUGCAUGAUUGUGUGUUUUCUCUCAGCUAGGAUGAUGGCUCAGUUCAAGGAUGAUUGGAGGAGAGAACAGUUCCAGAAUGAAGGACUUCAGGAAAAAUAUGAUGAUCUUCAAAAGAAAGUCGGUAAGUAUCUCUGAUGACCUCUUUGUUUCCACAGCCUGUACUAAACAAUCAGGUUUUUGGUUCUUUCGGCACCCCCUCUCUUCUUCCCUAUAUGCCAUCUUUUGGCUCACAUGUCAUCUCCAUGUCUUCCCUCUCCUCCCUCAAGGUUUCUGUUUAUGGACGUCUCCCACCUUAAGUUCUCUCCGUUUCUUUUACCCGAGACCUGAUUCCUUCUCAGUGCUUCCCACUUCAUUUCACAGGGCCCUUCCUGUAAACAUGGUCUUAACUCUGGCAUCCAGAGCCUUGGCAGGUUCGUUUUGAUUUUGUGAGAAGAAGGGGAGAGACUGAUGGACAUGUGGCUUCUGUUCCACGUUUAGCUUCUGGAACACUUCCAAUAACGUAGACUCUCUGUCAUACAGCAAAGUUCAAGGGGCCAUUCUCAUGCCAUUGAUGCCUCCCCAAAGCUUAUGAAAUAAAACAAGGCUGCAAAUUUGCUGAGUGAUGUUU